AAGCUGGGCACCGGAAACGCGCGGCCGCACCCUGCUUCCCACCAGACCCGCUGCGCGGUCAUCAGAGCACUUGCUAGUCUUGCUAGGAGACAAAGAGAAGCCGGCAGAUCCAGGAGAUCUACCUCUGGCUGCCAUGGGAGCGAAGCCCCAAUUCCUCUCUGAAGCACUGCAUGGACCGCUCUACUCUUGUAUUCAGCAUAUCAUCACCCUUCAGGAAAGCAGCCAGUCUUCAAAGGACAGGGCACUGUGCCUUCGAACUUUAGCUGGAAUAGGAGGGGAAGCGUGUGGAAUGGUUGCCCUGCCAGCCUUGUGAUGUCCUAAUGCUAUGUUCCACAUGCUUUAACCCAUUCUCGCCUCCACCCCCCCACCCUCCACGAGACACAUACAGACUGUAAAAGCUUGGAAAUUUAGUUAUUCCUGGCCUUAAAAUGAUAAGAAUUGAUGGUUGGAAAGCUCCCUAUAUGUCUCUUGACCCCUAGAAUUUCUGAAUUUAUACUGAGCCACUGAAGACAAAAAACAAACAAACAAAAAACAACAACAAAAACAAAACAAAACAACACAAAUCCAAAACAGGUUUUAAAGAUACUUCAGGAAAAAAAGCCAGAAAACACAAAGAGCUCCUGUCUGCCUGUCUGUAGCCUUUCAUGGCAGCUGAGAAACUCUUAUUUGGAUAACUUCCUUUAUUUAGGCCUUUCAGCCCUCAGCACCUGUCGCUAAGGUCCCUACCAGAUUCCUCUUUCCUGUCUCCAGCCAGUACUCGGAUUGUAGUUCUCUAGGUGGGCCAGGAGGUGGCGGCAAACACUUUUGGAUGGCUGCCACACACACUGCUUUGUUCUUGUGUUCAAAGUUUGCUCAUAGAUUUCUCAGUGUUCAGUUUUAGUACUGUAAACGUUACUACAAUGAUCAUGCUCUCUGAGGACCUUAAAAUUGGAAAUGUCAAUCAAGUUGUGUACUUCAAUAGCAAAAAGGACUUGUUACAUUAAUUAACCUAGAGGCCAGAUUGUUAAAAAUGUGAGUCAGACACUUGGGAGCUGGAAUGUGACUUCCAUAAAUGCCUGCAGCAUUCUUAACAAAGAAAUCUGCAGAACCAGAUCUAAGUGCUUGUCCUGCAGCACCAGAACCACAGCUGCCAGACCUGCAGCAGUCUUCGUUCUGACUAACACGUGAGAGGGAUGGUGGUUUUAUCAGCAAUUAAUAGUUAAGCUCUUCUUGAAGCACCAGGCAUGAGGGUGAUGGCUCAACAAUUAAUAGGGCUGGUGACACAGUCCCGAAGACCAGCAUCUGGACCCAGCACUCACAUAGCAACCUCGACAUCCCCACAAACACCUGGACGCCCAGCUCCGAGAGGGCAGAGACGGGAGGAUAGCUGCGGUUUACUGGCUUCCAGCCUAGCCCAGAAAUGAGGUCCAUGUUCAAGAAGAGACCCUGUCUCAAUGGAAUAGGCAGAAAGUCUUAGAAGAAGAUGCCAGAUGCACUCCUCUGACCUCUGUUUGUGCGUACUUGCACACAUCCAUGCACAUGUAUGCACAUAGAUAUUGCAAACAUGUAAAGAAAUAAGUAAAUAAAAUAACGAAAAAGAAAA